rnacentral:rRNA from 1 species
CAAAAACAUCGCCUCUUGCAAAAAUCAAUGUAUAAGAGGUCCUGCCUGCCCAGUGAAUAAUUUUAAACGGCCGCGGUAUUUUGACCGUGCAAAGGUAGCGCAAUCACUUGUUUUUUAAAUAAAAACCUGUAUGAAUGGUGAAACGAGGGCUUAACUGUCUCCCCCCUCUGAUCAGUGAAAUUGAUCUACCCGUGCAGAAGCGGGUAUAAAUAUACAAGACGAGAAGACCCUAUGGAGCUUUAGACACAAAACCAACUGUGUUAUAAACCCCUAAUUAAAGGGACUAAACAAAACAGCAACUGAUUUACGUCUUCGGUUGGGGCGACCACGGGGGAAAACAGAUCCCCCAUGAGAAGCGGAAAAUUUUCCUAAAACCACGAGGCACACCUCUAAGUCACAGAAUUUCUGACCAAAAGAUCCGGCAUAGCCGAUCAACGAACCAAGUUACCCUAGGGAUAACAGCGCAAUCCCCUCCAAGAGUCCAUAUCGACAAGGGGGUUUACGACCUCGAUGUUGGAUCAGGACAUCCUAAUGGUGCAGCCGCUAUUAAGGGUUCGUUUGUUCAACGAUUAAAGUCCUACGUGAUCUGAG